rnacentral:rRNA from 1 species
GACGAACGCUGGCGGCGUGCUUAACACAUGCAAGUCGAACGGAAAGGCCCUGCUUGCUGGGUACUCGAGUGGCGAACGGGUGAGUCACACGCGGGUGUUCUGCCCUGCACUCCGGGAUAAGCCUGGGAAACUGGGUCUAUUAUCGGAUAGAAGCCAUAUUUAGUGUGAUGGUUGGAAAGUUUUUUCGGUGUAGGAUGAGGUCGAGGCCGAUCAGCUUGUUGGUGGGGUAAUGGGCUACCAAGGCGGCGGCGGGUAGCCGGCCCGGGAGGGUGGACGGGCACAGUGGGACUGAGACUCGGCCCAGACUCCGACGGGAGGGAGAAGUGGGAAAGGGUGAACAAGGGGCGCAAGCCUGAUGCAGCGACGCCGCGGGCGGGAGGACGGCCUUCGGGUUGUAGUCUCAUUUCUCUAGUGACGAAGCUGUUUGUGACGGUACCUGGAGAAGAAGCACCGGCUAACUACGUG